UAAAUCAUGUGUAUUCGUAACAAAGCA
rnacentral:sRNA from 1 species